rnacentral:rRNA from 1 species
UACGUUCCCGGGCCUUGUACACACCGCCCGUCACGUCAUGAAAGUUGGUAACACCCGAAGCCGACGGCCUAACCCUUCGGGGAGGGAGUUGUCGAAGGUGGGACUGGCGAUUGGGACG